ensembl:lncRNA
CUCUGAAAGUAGAAAUGCCAGAAACAUGGAACAUCUUCAGAGAAAGGCCACAGGCGGGAAGCUAUGUGAUUUGCACAUCACCAUCACUGUGCUAGAGUGGUCCAGAUUCUAGCUUGUUCCCAGCCCGCAUCCCCACCACUGCCAUCUGCCGUGUACUGUGAGAUGACACCACCAAGGAGAAGCCUUGCUAAGCCUGCCAAAGCUGGCUGAGCCUCCAAAACUCUGACCGGGGUGGAACAAGACUUGCACAGAACGACCUGGGAGAGUGCAGUCUGAUAUGCAGCUGGAACGAGUGGCUGACACUUCUGUAUGACAGGGCAUCCGCCAGUGUGAGUCCUCCAAGAGCUAAUCCAAAGGUACAUGUAGACUGGCAGAAAUGCACGGAGGGGAGAACAUCCAUGAGACAAGUUCUGCUGAAUACCUCAUGGGCAGCCAUGGAAGAUCUGCACCACUGCCUGACAGCAGAAGCACGACGAUUGCCUCUGACAUUCCUACUUUUCCCUCAAGUUCCUUUUCAGCCCAGACCCUUCGGCAGUCGUAGCUGUCAGGCUGGGUCUCUGGUCACUCUGCUCUUCUAUCCUGCCUGUCAAAGGCCUCCUCUCCCCUCCAGUUCCUUCCUUUUUAUGAGGCCAUUGUGCUCUCUCCCACUUUUAGGCACAUCCUUACACUCACAGCCAGGUCAUCAGACAAUAACCUCUUGAGCUACAUCUUCAACUCCUUUUAUUUUGAAACUAAGUUGCCCAGGUGAGACUCAAAUUUAGGAUUCUCCUGCUUCCCCUCCCAAGUGCUGGGAUUAUAGGUGUGCACCACUGUGCCUGGCUUCCUCAGAUUUCUUUACCAUCAUAAAACCAUUUCUAAUAGCAAGAGACCCUAAAUGGAUAUACAAAGAUGGGAUUAUAAAUAAUGCUAUUAGUUAGUUCUAAUUCUUCUGCUUUCUUCUCUUUCUACAGUAAACACAUUAUGGGAAAGUAAAGUCAUAUUCAAACACAAGCAUGAUAAUUAUAAAUCAUAUCAUAACUUAAACUGGCUAAAUAUUUUCCAAAUUUCUACUCAUUCCCUCACUCUCUGUAAGGAAAAGCUUAGGUCCCACAGGGCAAAGUGGACACAAAUGGCCCCAAAAUGUUUAGUGGUUUAUUCAUUCAUUGUGCUAUUUCAGAAAAUUAAGACUCAACAGAGAUCCAACCUAGGAGUGCAUCAGUGGACAAAUGGAUAAAGAAAAUGUGGUAUAAACACACAAUGGAAUAUUACUCACCCAUAAAAAUAAUGAAAUCCUGUCAUUUGCAGCAACAUGGAUGGAACUAGUAGACAUUAUGUUUAAUGAAAUAAGACAGGCACAGUAAAACAAAUACGGCAUGUUCUCUCUCAUAUGUGAAAGCUAAAAUACAUGGACCUGAAUGUAGAAUGAUUACUAGAAGCUGAGGAGGAGAUCAGGGAGAUUGGAUAACAGGUACCAAAACACAGAUAGAAGGAGUAAGAUCUGGUGUCCAGCACAAUGGGAUGACUAGAGUUCACAAUAACCUAUUCUAUAUUUUAUUAAGAACUAGAAGAGAAGAGGGGUGAGGCCAGGCAUGAUGGUGCAUGCCUGUAGUCCCAGCAUUCAGGAGGCUGAAGCAGGAGGAUCACCAUGAGGUCAAGGCCAGCCUGGGCUCUACAGUGAGUUCAAGGCCAGCAUGAAUUACAUAGUGAGACUCUGUCUCACAAAGAUGUCGGGGGCAGAGAGAGGGAGGAAACUUCAAAUGUAAAAUAAUGAUAAGGAGAUAGAAAUGCUAAUUAUCUUGAUUGGAUCAGUACACAGUGUAUAUAUGUGUUGACAUAUCACAUUGAACCCCAUAAAGAUCUAUAAUUAUUACAUGCUAAUCAAAAAUGUUUAAGAAUAUAAAUAUAAAAGGAUGACUAGGCAUGGUGGCACAUGUCUGUAAUCCCAGCACUCUGGGAGGCUGAGGCAGGAGGACCACACAUUUGAGUCCAGCCUGAGCAACUUAGUGAGACCCAGUCUCAAAACAAUAAAAAAUGGACUGAGUUCAAUGGUAAGGCCCUGGGUUCAAUUUCCCAGUACUGCACAAAAGAAGGAAGGAGAGAGAGAAAGAAAUGAAGGGAGGGAGGGCUGGGGCCAUGCCUGCCUUGCAAGCUCAAGGUCCUGAUUUUGAUCCCCGGUACCAAAAAAAAAAAAGAAAAAGAAAUAAAGGGAGGAAGAGAGAAAGAAAGAGAGAGAGAAUGGGAAAGGGGAAGGGAAAGGGAAAGAGAAGGGGAAGGAAACAGUUUCACUAAUAGAUAAAAUUUAGGUCAAAAGUGCCAAGAGACAAUCCCAAAAUCAUUGGUGGUGCUGUCAAAGGUGAUCCAUCAAAGUAGGGAACAAAACCGCUGGGAAAAAGAGGACAUCUCACUUCAUGUCCACCUCCUUGAUUAUAAGAACUUUUAGUUUACAUGAAUUCAGCUCCUAUAAAAAAUUAAAACAAAUUCUCACAAGCUGUAAUUUAAGCUUCCAUACACAACUUAAGUAAACAAUUGUUUUAUGAAAAAAUCUGAUGAUUCUUCUCUUUUCCUUCCCC